rnacentral:tRNA from 1 species
GAGGGUGUAGCUCAGUGGUAAAGUAGGCACUUAGCAUGUACAAGGUCUUGGGUUCAAUUCCCAAUACUGACA